rnacentral:rRNA from 1 species
UACAGAGGGUGCUAACGUUGUUCGGAAUCACUGGGCAUAAAGCGCACGUAGGCUGCACGCUAAGUGUGGAGUGAAAUCCCACGGCUUACCCGUGGAACUGCUUCGCAUACUGGCGAGCUCGAGGACAGUAGGGGAGAGCGGAACUCUUGGUGGAGCGGUGAAAUGCGUAGAUAUCAAGAGGAACACCGAUGGCGAAGGUAGCUCUCUGGUCUGUUUCUGACGCUGAGGUGCGAAAGAUAGGGUAGCAAACGGG